rnacentral:rRNA from 1 species
GAUGAACGCUGGCGGCGUGCCUAAUACAUGCAAGUCGAGCGAACGGACGAGAAGCUUGCUUCUCUGAUGUUAGCGGCGGACGGGUGAGUAACACGUGGAUAACCUACCUAUAAGACUGGGAUAACUUCGGGAAACCGGAGCUAAUACCGGAUAAUAUUUUGAACCGCAUGGUUCAAAAGUGAAAGACGGUCUUGCUGUCACUUAUAGAUGGAUCCGCGCUGCAUUAGCUAGUUGGUAAGGUAACGGCUUACCAAGGCAACGAUGCAUAGCCGACCUGAGAGGGUGAUCGGCCACACUGGAACUGAGACACGGUCCAGACUCCUACGGGAGGCAGCAGUAGGGAAUCUUCCGCAAUGGGCGAAAGCCUGACGGAGCAACGCCGCGUGAGUGAUGAAGGUCUUCGGAUCGUAAAACUCUGUUAUUAGGGAAGAACAUAUGUGUAAGUAACUGUGCACAUCUUGACGGUACCUAAUCAGAAAGCCACGGCUAACUACGUGCCAGCAGCCGCGGUAAUACGUAGGUGGCAAGCGUUAUCCGGAAUUAUUGGGCGUAAAGCGCGCGUAGGCGGUUUUUUAAGUCUGAUGUGAAAGCCCACGGCUCAACCGUGGAGGGUCAUUGGAAACUGGAAAACUUGAGUGCAGAAGAGGAAAGUGGAAUUCCAUGUGUAGCGGUGAAAUGCGCAGAGAUAUGGAGGAACACCAGUGGCGAAGGCGACUUUCUGGUCUGUAACUGACGCUGAUGUGCGAAAGCGUGGGGAUCAAACAGGAUUAGAUACCCUGGUAGUCCACGCCGUAAACGAUGAGUGCUAAGUGUUAGGGGGUUUCCGCCCCUUAGUGCUGCAGCUAACACAUUAAGCACUCCGCCUGGGGAGUACGACCGCAAGGUUGAAACUCAAAGGAAUUGACGGGGACCCGCACAAGCGGUGGAGCAUGUGGUUUAAUUCGAAGCAACGCGAAGAACCUUACCAAAUCUUGACAUCCUUUGACAACUCUAGAGAUAGAGCUUUCCCCUUCGGGGGACAAAGUGACAGGUGGUGCAUGGUUGUCGUCAGCUCGUGUCGUGAGAUGUUGGGUUAAGUCCCGCAACGAGCGCAACCCUUAAGCUUAGUUGCCAUCAUUAAGUUGGGCACUCUAAGUUGACUGCCGGUGACAAACCGGAGGAAGGUGGGGAUGACGUCAAAUCAUCAUGCCCCUUAUGAUUUGGGCUACACACGUGCUACAAUGGACAAUACAAAGGGCAGCGAAACCGUGAGGUCAAGCAAAUCCCAUAAAGUUGUUCUCAGUUCGGAUUGUAGUCUGCAACUCGACUACAUGAAGCUGGAAUCGCUAGUAAUCGUAGAUCAGCAUGCUACGGUGAAUACGUUCCCGGGUCU